UAGUAAGUGUUUUAUGGCACUUUUUAAAUCCAUAUCCACCUUGUGUGCAACGUCAGUCGAUCUUCUUCAUGGAGAUCGACCAAACAUCAACCUUUAUCUUUUAACUCUUUGUCUGAAAAAUAUUAUGAAUAAACAGUUCAAAAUA
rnacentral:misc_RNA from 1 species